UAAGCCCAUUAUUCCAUAAUUUGUGGACUUGAGACUUUGCACAAAUUAUUCACCGCUUGGUCUUGAGAUGUGAGACAAGCCCCAUGGGUAUGAGACAUUUGCUUUCACUUGAUAGCCCAAUAUUUUACUAGGCAUAACUUAGGCUUUACGUUGACCUCCGGACUUGUUGCGUGGUCUUUGUCACUUUGUGCAACAAACCCAUGAAGCCCACUUUAACUGAUUUGGCAGUCCUUGAUUGACUCAACUUUGAAUUUGAGCGGAACUACACUAUUGUAGACGGACUUAAGAUGGAGACCCUUCCAGGAGUGAAGUCUUGUGUUUUGGCUUUCUCGAACUUGCUUAAGUAUGUGGGCCUGUGAAACUUUGAGACAUACCGUAUCACAAAAGGAAAGCACCGUGCUGCUUCUUUCCUUUUGAUAUUUCAUGUGGUGGAUUAAUCACCGCAAGAGCUUUCUCUCCAAUUUUUAUUUGCCUUGGCAAAGCAAAUAUGAGUUAGUUAAUUGGUAGAACCGGACCUACAUCACAUCUUUUUAGCUUUCUAGAUGCUAACAACAGCAAUUGGAAUAAAUUGACCCCCUGAGCCUUGUAUUUGGGAAUUCUUGAAUGGCAUAUUAGGUGGUGUGUUUAAACUAUUUUGUAAAUAGCUGUUCACCAAUCAUAUUACUUGCUUUGUCAUUUGAGUUGGCUUUCAGAGCUGCCCGCACAUACUAGAGAAGGCUUAAUCAUCCAUUAUUCCUCCUGGCCUCAUGUAAGUGACUUAGUGGAGCAAAUAUGAAUUUAGCAAUCCCAAAACUUGUAGCAAAGUGGCAGACUUCACACCCCCUUUGUUUUAAUUGCUUUAGCAACAUCAGUGGUUCGAACAAGUUGGUUUGAUCAAGACACCCAAGGGAUAGGAAUCCUUCUCCAAGUGAAGUAUGGAUUAAACUCCUUAUUGAUUUGGAACUGGUGGAUCAUCCAGUGAAGUAAACUUCUUGUCCACAUAGGAUUGGGUUGUCUUCCUUAUAAAAAGGAAAACAUGUGUGCACCAGCAAACAGCCACAAGACGAAAGUCUUAACAUUAUUCUUCGUUUGCUUCUCCAGACCAGCACAUAGCUUUGCUCAAGCCACCUGUUGCACCAUCAAACAGAAGAGGAUUUCACGUGGUAACCCACAUGCCAUUCCUUAGUUCUUCUCUUUUAUUUUAUUUAUUGAUUGAACUAACUGGGAUUUUUUUGGCAUGGGCAGCAAUAGCAGUAGCAAUUGAAGAGCCUCCAAUUAAUUGGAUGCUUCCGGGCUGACUGGGAACCAAAAGAGACAACUUCUCUUAUUGUCCUUUGUGUGCUGUAACCUUCCCAAGGUCAAUAACCCAAGACAAAGGGAAAGAGAAAUCAUCUUGCCUUUCACGUGGUAACCCACCCCUUGAACUCCUUCUUUUUCCUUUGAUUUUUUUCUUUUGUCUGUUUCCAUGUUUCUGACCUCUUGUCUUCUCUUCUGUAUGUAGAGGUUGUGCUGCCAGCUUGAAGGCUUUGGAGUUUGGUGGAGGAAACCAUCUGUCAUUUUGCUUCAGAAACCCAAGAAAGAACUUGUGGUACUUGCUUUGCCAGCUCCUCUUUUUUUGUUUGCUAUUGCUGUACUUUUACCAUUGCUCAUAUCCAUUUCUUUUACUCAAUUUCCAGUCAUAAUAAACCAAAGAAAUAUUCAAGAAGGGGAGGAGGGGCUGUGCGAUACAGCCCCCCUUUUUUUAUUCCAUUAACAUUUUUUUUGUGUUGGCCCUUGUUUUGUCUUCUUGCACAAGAAACAAAACCAGCCACCAUAUUUCUUUUACUUCUUUACUCCUGUUCUUAGUCAAAACAGAUCAAAAGAGGAUGGCUGUGCGAACAGCCCCCCUUUUGUUUUAUUUUUAUCUCUUCUUUGUUUCAUCUCUGUAAACAAAACACAACAACGAAACCACAAUUUUUCCUUUUGCUCCACCAUCUCUUCCUCCGCUGGCUCUCUUCCUUUUUUUUUGUUGGCUUGCUGGCAGCACACACUCAUGGGGAAGCAAUUCAAUUGCCAUGAGGCCCUUUUGGUUUUAGAUGCUUCAUACUGAGGUUUUACGCAGAGACUUGUAAUCACAAGCUUUCGUUCUUUGAUUUUGAUUCCAUGGUGCGUUCAUCUCUACAUCCAUGAUUUGAGGGAUCCUUUGCUCCUGGAAGCGCUUAUUCGACGUUGCCUAUUGGAAUAGACUAUGCCAUGAAAUCUGAUGAUUGAAAUCAUCAUGGAAGGCAAUCCUCCCCUGUUGGUUGUGGACCAGAUGUUUGAAAACAUCGCUGGAGUUAUUUGAGCGUAGGCAAGCCUUGGAGAGAUUCUUAACUUUGUUUAUGAUGAUUGAAAUCAUCAUAGCCAAGAACCCUUGAGUUGAAUGAAACCUAAAGUCUUGAGCAAAAAACCAGAAAAUUGUGUCAUAAAACUGAUAUUUUUACCUUGAAAUGGCUCUUCCCUUUCUGAAGUAUGCUUGCUAAUUUUUCCUUCCUGCGGCUGUUCUCCUUUCUCCUCCUUUUCUUUCCUGCAGCUAUUCUCCUCUCUCUGCGUUUUUUUUUUUUUGUCCUCCUCUGUUCUCCUUUUUUUUUUUCUCAUGUCAUGCCUCUUAUAGAGGCUAUCUUAUGAUGAGUUUGAAUUCAAGCUGAUGACCACUUUUCAACCGAGAUACUUAUCUCUUGGUGUUUCAAAACCACUGAAAUACAUCUAUUUUAUUUUUAAAUGUUUUUCUUGAUAAGAUUGCAGGGACAAAACAAAUUCAAUUCUAACCCAAGUCAAACUCUUGGCUAAUUGCUUUUGU
rnacentral:lncRNA from 1 species